rnacentral:rRNA from 1 species
GUGCCAGCAGCCGCGGUAAUACGGAAGAUCCAAGCGUUAUCCGGAUUUAUUGGGUUUAAAGGGAGCGUAGGCGGAAGUUCAAGUCAGUUGUGAAAGUCUGUGGCUUAACCAUAGAAUUGCAGUUGAAACUGAAUUUCUUGAGUGUAGAUAAGGAUGGUGGAAUUUGUGGUGUAGCGGUGAAAUGCAUAGAUAUCACGAAGAACUCCAAUUGCGAAGGCAGCCAUCCGGGCUACAACUGACGCUGAGGCUCGAAAGUGCGGGAAUCAAACAGGAUUAGAUACCCUGGUAGUCCGCACCGUAAACGAUGGAUACUCGUGGUUGGCGAUAAACAGUCAGUCACCAAGCGAAAGCGUUAAGUAUCCCACCUGGGGAGUACGCCGGCAACGGUGAAACUCAAAUGAAUUGACGG